rnacentral:rRNA from 1 species
GAUGAACGCUGGCGGCGUGCCUAAUACAUGCAAGUCGAGCGAACAGACGAGGAGCUUGCUCCUUUGACGUUAGCGGCGGACGGGUGAGUAACACGUGGAUAACCUACCUAUAAGACUGGGAUAACUUCGGGAAACCGGAGCUAAUACCGGAUAACAUGUUGAACCGCAUGGUUCAACAGUGAAAGACGGUCUUGUUGUCACUUAUAGAUGGAUCCGCGCCGCAUUAGCUAGUUGGUAAGGUAACGGCUUACCAAGGCAACGAUGCGUAGCCGACCUGAGAGGGUGAUCGGCCACACUGGAACUGAGACACGGUCCAGACUCCUACGGGAGGCAGCAGUAGGGAAUCUUCCGCAAUGGGCGAAAGCCUGACGGAGCAACGCCGCGUGAGUGAAGAAGGUCUUCGGACCGUAAAACUCUGUUAUUAGGGAAGAACAAAUGUGUAAGUAACUAUGCACGUCUUGACGGUACCUAAUCAGAAAGCCACGGCUAACUACGUG